UACAGAGGGUGCAAGCGUUGUUCGGAAUUAUUGGGCGUAAAGGGCGCGUAGGCGGUGCCACAAGUCACCUGUGAAAUCUCCGGGCUUAACUCGGAGCCUGCAGGCGAAACUGUGGUGCUGGAGUGUGGGAGAGGUGAGUGGAAUUCCUGGUGUAGCGGUGAAAUGCGUAGAUAUCAGGAGGAACACCUGUGGCGAAAGCGGCUCACUGGACCAUAACUGACGCUGAUGCACGAAAGCUAGGGGAGCAAACAGG
rnacentral:rRNA from 1 species